UUAAGGAAAUUUUGAUGGGGAAGUAAACAAGGUCAAAGGAAACCUGCAUGGGUGUCAUGGAAAACGAUGUGCAGACCCAAGUUUAUGGGGGGUAUGGGAUUCCGAGCCACAUAACUGUUUAACCUUUCUCUGUUGACCCGACAGGUAUGGAGGUUGCUACAAGACCCAUACUCUCUGAGUGCACGAGUUCUUAAGGCGAGAUAUUACCCUCAGUGUGACAUUCUUGACGCUGCUCUGGGAACUCAUCCAUCCCAAGUAUGGCGCUCACUGUUAGAGGGGAGAGAUGUGUUUGCGUUGGAAAUAAUUAAAAGAAUUGCAUCAGGUGAAAGUACACAUAUUUGAGAAGACAACUGGUUG
rnacentral:rRNA from 1 species